rnacentral:rRNA from 1 species
UGGGGAAUAUUGCACAAUGGGGGAAACCCUGAUGCAGCAACGCCGCGUGAGUGAUGAAGGCCUUCGGGUUGUAAAGCUCUGUCUUCAGGGACGAUAAUGACGGUACCUGAGGAGGAAGCCACGGCUAACUACGUGCCAGCAGCCGCGGUAAUACGUAGGUGGCAAGCGUUGUCCGGAUUUACUGGGCGUAAAGGGAGCGUAGGCGGAUAUUUAAGUGGGAUGUGAAAUACCUGGGCUUAACUUGGGUGCUGCAUUCCAAACUGGAUAUCUGGAGUGUUGGAGAGGAAAGUGGAAUUCCUAGUGUAGCGGUGAAAUGCGUAGAGAUUAGGAAGAACACCAGUGGCGAAGGCGACUUUCUGGACAAUAACUGACGCUGAGGCUCGAAAGCGUGGGGAGCAAACA